rnacentral:rRNA from 1 species
UACAGAGGUCUCAAGCGUUGUUCGGAUUCAUUGGGCGUAAAGGGUGCGUAGGUGGCGCUGUAAGUCGGGCGUGAAAUUUCGGAGCUUAACUCCGAAACUGCAUUCGAUACUGCGGUGCUUGAGGACUGGAGAGGAGACUGGAAUUCAUGGUGUAGCAGUGAGAUGCGUAGAGAUCAUGAGGAAGACCAGUGGCGAAGGCGGGUCUCUGGACAGUUCCUGACACUGAGGCACGAAGGCCAGGGGAGCAAACGGG